GCUACAGGCUUAACACAUGCAAGUCGAGGGGCAGCAUUUCAGUUUGCUUGCAAACUGGAGAUGGCGACCGGCGCACGGGUGAGUAACACGUAUCCAACCUGCCGAUAACUCGGGGAUAGCCUUUCGAAAGAAAGAUUAAUACCCGAUGGUAUAAUCAGACCGCAUGGUCUUGUUAUUAAAGAAUUUCGGUUAUCGAUGGGGAUGCGUUCCAUUAGGCAGUUGGUGAGGUAACGGCUCACCAAACCUUCGAUGGAUAGGGGUUCUGAGAGGAAGGUCCCCCACAUUGGAACUGAGACACGGUCCAAACUCCUACGGGAGGCAGCAGUGAGGAAUAUUGGUCAAUGGGCGCAGGCCUGAACCAGCCAAGUAGCGUGAAGGAUGACUGCCCUAUGGGUUGUAAACUUCUUUUAUAUGGGAAUAAAGUUUUCCACGUGUGGAAUUUUGUAUGUACCAUAUGAAUAAGGAUCGGCUAACUCCGUGCCAGCAGCCGCGGUAAUACGGAGGAUCCGAGCGUUAUCCGGAUUUAUUGGGUUUAAAGGGAGCGUAGGUGGACAGUUAAGUCAGUUGUGAAAGUUUGCGGCUCAACCGUAAAAUUGCAGUUGAUACUGGCUGUCUUGAGUACAGUAGAGGUGGGCGGAAUUCGUGGUGUAGCGGUGAAAUGCUUAGAUAUCACGAAGAACUCCGAUUGCGAAGGCAGCUCACUGGACUGCAACUGACACUGAUGCUCGAAAGUGUGGGUAUCAAACAGGAUUAGAUACCCUGGUAGUCCACACAGUAAACGAUGAAUACUCGCUGUUUGCGAUAUACAGUAAGCGGCCAAGCGAAAGCAUUAAGUAUUCCACCUGGGGAGUACGCCGGCAACGGUGAAACUCAAAGGAAUUGACGGGGGCCCGCACAAGCGGAGGAACAUGUGGUUUAAUUCGAUGAUACGCGAGGAACCUUACCCGGGCUUAAAUUGCAUUUGAAUAUAUUGGAAACAGUAUAGCCGUAAGGCAAAUGUGAAGGUGCUGCAUGGUUGUCGUCAGCUCGUGCCGUGAGGUGUCGGCUUAAGUGCCAUAACGAGCGCAACCCUUAUCUUUAGUUACUAACAGGUCAUGCUGAGGACUCUAGAGAGACUGCCGUCGUAAGAUGUGAGGAAGGUGGGGAUGACGUCAAAUCAGCACGGCCCUUACGUCCGGGGCUACACACGUGUUACAAUGGGGGGUACAGAAGGCAGCUACCUGGUGACAGGAUGCUAAUCCCAAAAGCCUCUCUCAGUUCGGAUCGAAGUCUGCAACCCGACUUCGUGAAGCUGGAUCCGCUAGUAAUCGCGCAUCAGCCAUGGCGCGGUGAAUACGUUCCCGGGCCUUGUACACACCGCCCGUCAAGCCAUGAAAGCCGGGGGUACCUGAAGUACGUAACCGCAAGGAGCGUCCUAGGGUAAAACUGGUAAUUGGGGCU
rnacentral:rRNA from 1 species